GGCCUUGGCGAGCAAUCCUCUUAAUUCCCUGAAGACAAGAGAGAGGGGGCGAGAGACAGAAAGGAGCCGGGCUGCUUGCAACCCUUGUCAGUCCAGCGGGGAUGUUGGGAGCCCCAGCGGGGAGUGCCGAGACGUCCCGGCGACAAAAGUUCAAGUUCUUUUUUCAGUUCCAGCUGCAGCUGCCGAAUGCGGAUGUCCUUCUGGGCCAGCUCUUCUUUCAACCGCCGGAUCUCAUCCUGCUGCCGGAAGAACAUUCGGAGGAGCUGGGGUGGAGGAAGAGAGGGGCCAGGCGGCCGGGAGAGAGCAGGUGUUGAUUGUCUGUCUCCCUUCCGUGGAAUGUGAGAUCCCAAGAGGAAGGCUGGGUUCUGCACUGUUUCCCACUGAGUCUAGAGGCUGCCACACGGCUGAUACCCAGUAAGUGUUCAUUGAACGACGGUGUGAAAGGGCAGGAGGAGCCAGGUGUUCGGCCAGGUGCUCUCCAUCUAAGCUUUACAAUAGCCCUGAAAGGUAGGCUUGAUUUUUCCCUAUUUUACAGAUGGGGAAAUUGAGCCCCAGAAGGGUGAGCUAUACAUUUGAGCCAGGACGUCAACCUAGGUCUGACUCUACAGUCCAGGAUGCUUUUUAUUCUACUUGAUGAAGAGGUGACAGUGAGGAGGAGGAGGAGAUGACAGAGUCGGGGAGGGGUGCAGUCAAUGGAAUGGUCACUGGGCCUAUCUCAGGGCCGCCAUCUUGCUGCCAGUCACUGAGGUGGGCUCUCGGGCCCUUCCGGCACUGAUGGUCUGGAAGCUGGCUCUCAGGCCAUAUCCGUAGCACCGGAUCCCCAGAGGGAACAAGCCAGACUCGGGCUCCGAGGUAAGGAGGGAACAGGGCCCCCGAAGAAACUUCUUCCAACGGGCUGAUUCUGACCCCAAACAGGAAGUUGCUGAACUGUAUGCAAUAUGAAACUUUUGCUGUAAGACUUUAGCGGUGGUAGAACGUGGGGUGUGAAGAACUCACCAUGCUCCAUCAAUUCUGGACCCUCUGAAGGAUUUGCUUAGAGGCUGGGGAGCCUGGGGGUGCAGGGAUGGGGACACCCUGGGACUUCCUCCUGUCCUCUCAGGCAGGGACAGAGCUGCUCCUGGAGACUGGGGUCCUGGCUUCCUAAAGGCUUCAGGAAAGUGUCUGGACCCAGACUUUUCUCUGACCUUUAGUUUUUCAACCGCCUUACAAGAGUUCAGAGCCACUUGGAGCGCCAGUAUCCCCAUCUGCAAAUGGGAAUGAAGCCAGUGUGGGCCGCUGAUGACCAGAGGUGAUGGAGGAUGUCAGGCACCAUGGAAUGACAGUCAGUCAGGUGGGUGGUGACAGGCUGGCGAAGAAGGGCAGGCGGACCUUCCCAGGGGCAGCAUCUGCAGGUUCUGACUGCCCAUGAGCUGUGGGCUUCUGACUCUGAUUUUCAUUUAAAGGCAGGGGUGACCCAUGAACCAAACAUCCAGUCUCUUGUUCUAUAGCAUAACAGCCAUGGAAGCCUCUGGACCCCCUUACCUAGGC